UACAGGGGGUGCAAACGUUGCUCGGAAUCAUUGGGCGUAAAGCGCACGUAGGCGGUUCGUUAUGUCGGAUGUGAAAGCCCUUGGCUUAACCGAGGAAGUGCAUCCGAAACUGGCGAGCUAGAGUACAAAAGAGGAUCGCGGAAUUCCCGGUGUAGAGGUGAAAUUCGUAGAUAUCGGGGAGGAACACCGGUGGCGAAGGCGGCGAUCUGGGGUUGAUACUGACGCUGAGGUGCGAAAAGCGUGGGGAGCAAACAGG
rnacentral:rRNA from 1 species